CGGACCAUCCCACUAGUUGAACCGGCCUAAAAAAAUAACAUAAAUAAUGAGUAGGGUUUCCAAAAAUGAGCUAAGAGUUAAGCUCCACUUUUUUCCGUUCCCUGGUUGUGUUGGAUUGAAUCUUAUUCCAGCUUGCAAGACUGAGUUCUCCAGUGUAAGGGUGAACGUUGUGGUUUUUAGUGCUAAAAUGAUGGGUCUAGUCUAUUGAGGCUUGUUCUUUUUUCCAAAGCAGCUAUGGAUCGGAGAUUUAGGGUGACCUCCUAGCAUUUAGAGUAUUACUACUCUCCCUCUUAUGGAUUGGGCUAAUCUAAUAUUGUAUUUAGAGACAACCUAUAUUUGUAUUCACUCUGUGUUUCACUUUAUGCUCCUAUUGUAUUAUAGGCUCUUGUAUUAACUUCACCAGGUCUUGGGGUUGCUUUAUAUAUAUUAGCCCUUUUAUUAUAUUUAUUCCACUAUUUCCCUUCAUUUCUUUUGAUAGUCUAUUAUCAUAGGUCCUGACGAUGGAAUGGCUUACCUACUAGUGGGUUAUAGCAGGUGCCA